rnacentral:rRNA from 1 species
UACGUAGGGCGCAAGCGUUGUCCGGAAUUAUUGGGCGUAAAGAGCUCGUAGGCGGUCUGUUACGUCCGCUGUGAAAACCCAGGGCUUAACCCUGGGCUUGCAGUGGAUACGGGUAGACUAGAGGCAGGUAGGGGAGAAUGGAAUUCCUGGUGUAGCGGUGAAAUGCGCAGAUAUCAGGAGGAGCACCCGUGGCGAAAGCGGCUCUCUGGGACGGUACUGACGCUGAGACGCGAAAGCGUGGGGAGCAAACAGG